AUUGAACGCUGGCGGCAUGCCUUACACAUGCAAGUCGAACGGUAACAGGUCUUCGGAUGCUGACGAGUGGCGAACGGGUGAGUAAUACAUCGGAACGUGCCUAGUAGUGGGGGAUAACUACUCGAAAGAGUGGCUAAUACCGCAUGAGAUCUACGGAUGAAAGCAGGGGAUCGCAAGACCUUGUGCUACUAGAGCGGCCGAUGGCAGAUUAGGUAGUUGGUGGGAUAAAAGCUUACCAAGCCGACGAUCUGUAGCUGGUCUGAGAGGACGAUCAGGCACACUGGGACUGAGAAACGGCCCAGACUCCUACGGGAGGCAGCAGUGGGGAAUUUUGGACAAUGGGCGCAAGGUGGUGCCAGCAAUGCCGCGUGCAGGAUGAAGGCCUUCGGGUUGUAAACUGCUUUUGUACGGAACGAAAAGCCCCGGGUUAAUAGUCUGUGGUCAUGACGGUACCGUAAGAAUAAGCACCGGCUAACUACGUGCCAGCCGCCGCGGUAA
rnacentral:rRNA from 1 species